rnacentral:lncRNA from 1 species
UUCUGUUAAUCUAUACAUAUAUAUAUAUAUGAAUUCUUUUCAAUGUGUAAAGAAUAAGCACUAUUUUUACAGAGGUAUGGCAAGUAAUGUGUCGGGUGGAGAAGAUUCAAAGUCGGACUUACAGCUGUUUUCAAACUUGUCUAGAAUAGUUCAAACUCUCAAAUCUAUGGCCUUUUGGUUGGCUGUAGAACUCGGAAAAUUAAACAGCUCCUGUAACUGUGAGGGAAAAUUAUGGGAAGAACUGCUCCAAGAAGUCUCAUUUAUUCCCGUUAGGGCAGCUACAGGAAUCGAAAAAGACCCAUAUUCAGUCCAUAACUUGACUAAACUAUUCAUAGAAAAACCAUCUUCGGCUGCUACCAUAGUGGAUAAAAUAAAAAAAGACCCGUCCUUGUCAAAGCUAUUCGCUAAAUCAAUUCGAAAAAACCCAUAUAUUAUGGCAAAAUUAGAAGAAAAUGCAAGACAAAAAUACCCCAGGUUGGAGCUUAAGGUGGAGGACUAUCCCUAUGCCGUUGAUGGACUUGAGAUAUGGAGAGCAAUCCAGAUGUGGGUUGCAGAUUUUUGUUGCAUCUUUUAUGAAGAUGAUAGUUCUGUAGAGUCUGAUGAAGAGAUCCAAGCAUGGUGGAAAGAAAUAAGAGAGGUUGGCCAUGGUGAUAAGGAAUGGGGGUCCCAGAUGAUCAAAGGUCGAUCUGAUUUGAUACAAACUCUAACAACUCUCAUCUGGAUUGCAUCUGCUUUUCAUGCUGCUAUCAACUUUGGCCAAUAUGCUUAUGCCGGUUACCCUCCGAACCGUCCAACCCUUUGUCGAAAACCCAUCCCUAAAGAAGGGACGGAAGAGUAUAAAACCCUCGAAGAGGCUCCUGAAAAGUAUUACCUAGAGACUUUGCCUGACAAAUUUCAGAUGGCUCUUACUGUGGCUCUAAUGGAGGUUUUGUCACGACAUGCAUCCGAUCAAGUUUACUUGGGUCAGAGGUCGUCGCCAAAGUGGACUGACAGCCAACUAGCACUCGCAGCGUUUGCAGAGUUCCAACAAAGGCUUGGCGACAUCCAGGAAAAAAUCUCAGAGAGGAAUAAAAAUAUCCAACUUGCCAACAGAUUUGGACCUGCUGGAAUGACUUACACACUCUUGUAUCCAGAUACAUUCAACCAUGCAUCCAAAGCUUACAUAUCAGGAAAAGGGAUCCCCAGUAGCAUCUCCAUUUAAUUACUUGCAGACUUCUGUAUCCUGAUGUUCCAAGUCAUGUAUCUCAAGGAUACAUCUCAAGAAAAGGAAUCCCCAAUAGCAUCUCCAUCUAGCUUAGCUCACAUGUUGAUUUACAGCUUUUCCUCUUGUCAAAGAAAUAAUUAAUUUUCUUUUUUUUUUUAGGAAUGUCUAAUUUUUGAAACAGAAGAAAAUCAAGGACUGGAAGACAGAGAGAGAUUGCCAAGACCUGCUGACAGUUUUGAGUCGAAUUUUUACUUAUUUGCCUGUAUUCUCGUUUUAUUCAUUUACUGUUGUUAUUAAUUAGCUUAUAACUGCUGAGUUUUGAUAGUUAGAAUAUCUAGAUGGUUUUCUCGAUUAAUUGAACUGUUACUCAUUUGAUUUUCUCCAUUUGUAUUCCGGGGAAGCAUUUAACAGAUGGAAGCUGAUCAUUGAGGAAAGUGUACAAACAAUGAUUCUGUAGAAUGCAAGAUUAUUGAUGAAUUUCUGAAAGAAUAAAGACCUUGAGUCUGUCAAUUUUUCCCCAACUCCUUUCCCUAAUUUCCUAAUUAAUACUCUCUGUUUUCUUAUAUUAAUUCCUAUUGUUCAGAUCCAUGUCUCAGGUUCCUGACAGAGAUCUCUCCAUGAAGACCUUGAGAGAUUCUUCUUCAGAAAAUUGUUUGACCUCUUUAUAAUCUCUUUUUUUUUUUCUUUUGCCUAAGUCCACACUCUGGAUCAAGAAGGCCUUUCUCAUUAACAUGAGUAUAAAGCACAUGCAGAUACCAUAUAACACACCUACAUUUCUUUUUUGAAGUUUUNNNNNNNNNNNNNNNNNNNNNNNNNNNNNNNNNNNNNNNNNNNNNNNNNNNNNNNNNNNNNNNNNNNNNNNNNNNNNNNNNNNNNNNNNNNNNNNNNNNNNNNNNNNNNNNNNNNNNNNNNNNNNNNNNNNNNNNNNNNNNNNNNNNNNNNNNNNNNNNNNNNNNNNNNNNNNNNNNNNNNNNNNNNNNNNNNNGAUUCCAUAUCUAAGCAAAAUAAAUGGCGACAAGCAUGGUCAUGGUGGUAUUUAUGCUUAUGCAUCUCGGACAAUACUCAAGUUGUAUGAUGACACACUAGUUCCAACGGAAAUACAACUUACAAAUGGUGAUCCGGAUUCUGUUCACCGGUUUCUUCCACUACACACUGACAGAGAUGAGCUUACUUGGAAACUUGCCAAAGCUCAUGUUGCAGCUAAUGAUUCUGCAUACCAUCAACUAAUUACCCAUUGGUAAAAAUUUACCAAUUUUCCAUUACCAAUUCUCUUUGUAUUUAACUUACCUAAUUCGUGAAUAAUAUUUUCUGCAGGUUGCAUACUCAUGCAGUGGUGGAGCCAUUUAUCAUUGCUACUAGAAGGCAGCUAAGCGUGGUGCACCCAAUUCAUAGGCUAUUGGAUCCUCAUUUUAAACACACCAUGCAUAUAAAUGCACUGGCACGAACCUUUGUUAUAAACUCAGGGGGGAUCUUUGAGAACAUAUUGUUUACAGGCAAAUUUUCCAUGGAGUUGUCUUCUCAACUCUACAAGGAAUGGAGAUUUGAAGAACAAGCGCUCCCUACUGAUCUUGUCAAAAGGUAAUAUUCUUUUUCAUUUUUUUUACACCCGACUCUUCUGUUCAUCACAUAUGGAUUCUACACCUUAUUUUAACAAUUAUUUCUGGGUAAAGAAUAUCCAUUAAUAUAUUAGUUUCCGUUCCUAGUAUAACUAAAAGCAGAAUUUGACGCUACAUUCUACAGAGAAUAACUGAAAAUUUAACUAUUCUGUUAAUCUAUACAUAUAUAUAUAUAUGAAUUCUUUUCAAUGUGUAAAGAAUAAGCACUAUUUUUACAGAGGUAUGGCAAGUAAUGUGUCGGGUGGAGAAGAUUCAAAGUCGGACUUACAGCUGUUUUCAAACUUGUCUAGAAUAGUUCAAACUCUCAAAUCUAUGGCCUUUUGGUUGGCUGUAGAACUCGGAAAAUUAAACAGCUCCUGUAACUGUGAGGGAAAAUUAUGGGAAGAACUGCUCCAAGAAGUCUCAUUUAUUCCCGUUAGGGCAGCUACAGGAAUCGAAAAAGACCCAUAUUCAGUCCAUAACUUGACUAAACUAUUCAUAGAAAAACCAUCUUCGGCUGCUACCAUAGUGGAUAAAAUAAAAAAAGACCCGUCCUUGUCAAAGCUAUUCGCUAAAUCAAUUCGAAAAAACCCAUAUAUUAUGGCAAAAUUAGAAGAAAAUGCAAGACAAAAAUACCCCAGGUUGGAGCUUAAGGUGGAGGACUAUCCCUAUGCCGUUGAUGGACUUGAGAUAUGGAGAGCAAUCCAGAUGUGGGUUGCAGAUUUUUGUUGCAUCUUUUAUGAAGAUGAUAGUUCUGUAGAGUCUGAUGAAGAGAUCCAAGCAUGGUGGAAAGAAAUAAGAGAGGUUGGCCAUGGUGAUAAGGAAUGGGGGUCCCAGAUGAUCAAAGGUCGAUCUGAUUUGAUACAAACUCUAACAACUCUCAUCUGGAUUGCAUCUGCUUUUCAUGCUGCUAUCAACUUUGGCCAAUAUGCUUAUGCCGGUUACCCUCCGAACCGUCCAACCCUUUGUCGAAAACCCAUCCCUAAAGAAGGGACGGAAGAGUAUAAAACCCUCGAAGAGGCUCCUGAAAAGUAUUACCUAGAGACUUUGCCUGACAAAUUUCAGAUGGCUCUUACUGUGGCUCUAAUGGAGGUUUUGUCACGACAUGCAUCC